rfam:Ovis aries breed Texel chromosome 3, whole genome shotgun sequence.
UCCCUGGCAGUCCAGUGGUUAAGACUCAGCAAUGUCACUGCUGUGGCCUGGGUUCAACCCCUAGUCAGGGAA